AACGAACGCUGGCGGCGUGCCUAACACAUGCAAGUCGAGCGCGAAAAGGGCAACCUGAGUAGAGCGGCGCACGGGUGCGUAACACGUGGGUAAUCUGCCUUAGAGUCGAGGAUAACCUUCCGAAAGGUUGGCUAAUACUCGGUAAGCUUACGGUGUCUUCGGACGCUGUGGGAAAAGUAGGCCUCUGUUUACAAGCUUACGCUCUGAGAUGAGCCCGCGGCCCAUCAGCUAGUUGGCGGUGUAACGGACCACCAAGGCAACGACGGGUAGCUGGUCUGAGAGGACGAUCAGCCACACUGGAACUGAGACACGGUCCAGACUCCUACGGGAGGCAGCAGUGGGGAAUUUUCCACAAUGGGCGAAAGCCUGAUGGAGCAACGCCGCGUGUGUGAUGAAGGUUUUCGGAUCGUAAAGCACUUUCGACUGGGACGAAAAACCUUUGGCUAACAUCCAGGGGCCUGACGGUACCAGGAGAAGAAGCACCGACUAACUCUGUGCCAGCCGCCGCGGUAAGAC
rnacentral:rRNA from 1 species